ACUGUUGAAGGAUCUGGCGCAGCUUGUCCCUUUAAUAGACAUCUUUUUCUAUCUGACGUCUUUUAACCUUUUACUUCUCAACUACAAUUUAACGUUGUUUAGAUUGAAGACAUCUUUUCUAUUGAACUUGUGUUAACUCGUGCGUGUUGCUGUUUGUGUUUAUAUACUUUAACAAACUGCACUUCUUUAAAUUCAUGACCGUCGGAAUAAAAUGUCACAAUAAGCUUAUAACAUUCAAGGCAAAGCACCAUGAGAUCACAUGACCAGACCCGGGUGGAAAGCAUGUGAAAGCCUCAGUGUUCUGGUAUUAUAAUUUCUCAGCAUUUUUAAAAGUAUUAUGUUUACCACGAAAAGUUUUCUUUAGUUUUGAAAAUAGCUAAAUAACAACUAUAACAAGUUUAAUAAUCCAUUUCCAGUGUGGUUCAGUCUAAAUGUGUCUCUUUGAAAGCUGUCCUCACACUGGACGUCCAUCGACGUCUGUUUAAGGUCGCCCAACUAUUGUGCGUGUUUUUUUUUAACCAAGACCUCCCAUCUAAUUAGCCUUCAACGAAAGUUUUGGAGGUCAAAAUGAACCACACUCACCUUUCUUUUAUAUUAGGACAUCAAUGGACGUCUUAACCGCACGUAAGUAGACGGAAGUAGGUGUCAUUUUUUUCUGUCUAUGGAAAUGUGCCCAAGGGGUUAUGCUUAUCUUACUAGACUUUUUAAAAUUGUUUUUAGGUCUUUUAAUAGGCUGCAGGUCUUUCAUUUAACGACAACCUGCAUUAAAUGUCACACAGCAAGCUUAGAAUACACAGCGGUCCAAGACCAAAAACACCAUGAGAUCAUGAUGAUCAGACCAGAUUUCUUUAAACGGUUUAAUACAGAGCCAAGAUUUAUCCAUAAUAGAUCACUUCAUAGCCUGCAGUCAUUUAAUCCAGCCUGUUACUGCCGUGUAAGCCCCUUAUAGGCAAAGCUUUAACACAACUUUCAGCACAUUGUGUCAGAUUAUAACACUUAGAUCCACUCAGGAUACAUUUAGAGGUUAGCUGGAUCCAUACUGCGUUUAAAAUACCCUGAAUGCUUUUAGAAACCAUAAAAUGCUGCUUAUAUUAAAGCAUAUUUGAAAAGGAAACAACAACCCAGGUUUCACAUUUCUAACCAGUCUGCAAUUAGAGAAAAAAAAAACACACCCAUACACACAUAAGUUAAAAAACUCCCAGCCCGCUUCCAGUGUCAGCGCACAUGUGUUUGUUCUUGUUUAUGAGUCUGUUAGGAUUUUAAUCAACCCUGGUCAGACACCGGCCUCAUAUGGCCAUCAGCGUCCGUUAAGUCGGUGCUGCAGCCUCGGCUGCGUCUGCACCUUUCUCCAGCCAAAAUAACGUCAGACACAAUGAAGGCGCAGACCAAAACAAACGGCGCAGAGCAUGUUUGCCCUCCGUCAGCAGCAAAAAGUAAUUAAAACUGUGUCUGACCUACAUAAAGGAUGCGCCUCGGAAGGAAGCUCAGGUUAAUAUGCUAAUAUGGAUCUGCUAAUUGUGGGGAUUUACUUUGUCGUUUUGGCGGAGGGGAGGGGCCGCGGGGCGCGUCACUGCCUUGUUUAAGCCUUCAAGAUGUGCAGCAAAUUAAUUUCUUCUCAUGCGGUGCGUGAGGUGAGGAGAGCAGAAUAGGCAGAAAACAGGUGUUUGCAAAUAAAUAGGCAGUCAAUGAGAAACAGACCACUGGAGAAGUUCAAAAACAAAAAUGGGGGUCUGAGGUAAAAAAAAAAAAAAAGAAAAAAGUCAGCCAUCCCAAUGAAAAAACAACAACAAAAAACACCCAGAAAAAACAUAAUACCCUAACAUUCCAUGCAUUCAAGUACAUACACAUCAAAAACGUGCAAAUUUAAGAUGUUUGUACAUGUGUUUAUUUAGCCUCUGCAAAAUUUUGAACGACUGUCUCUCUCCUUAUGAAAGAUACACGAUCAUUGCAUCACUGUUAGCUUUUGCUGAAGGACAGGAAAGGCACAUUUAGAUAAAUAAAUAAUGUAAUUCUUUGAGGAAAAGUUAUAAUAAUGGCUACUGGCCCUUUUCCCUCAGCUGUGUUGGUGCCACUAUAAUGUCAUGCUCUGAAGGACACAGUGAUGACUCAAGCAUAUUUAACUAACCAACUAUUGGAACACUUCCAGACAAAUAUGUAGAAGUGGUUACUGGCUCCACUGGCCCCCUUCGGUGGCACCAGUGGCAUCUGGCUCUGAGGGACAUAAAAUUGGCCUAACUAACGAACGAACUAACUAACUAAUAAUUCAACUAUUUAUUUAAAAUUUUUAAUUAACACAAAAAUAAUACAAACUCAUAGGGGUAGACAUUGCCCCAGCCCCCCACACCUUUCCUUGGUGUUAUGCCUAAAAUGACCAAGCAUGAAAAUACCAAAAAUCAAAUUUCAAAAUCAUUUUUCUAGCUUUAAUACUUAUUCAGAAAUAAUAUUAUAGUUGGGUAGCCAGCAAUUUUAUUGGGGUGUCAACCCCCCCUUUCCCCCGCCAGCUUCAGCCUGAUUGCGCGGCUGGGGGGAUGUUUUGAUAGAUAAAAAAUGACACUUGCCUUAAAUAAAUAAAAAGACAGAUAAUAUUUGCAACUCAUUGAACCCGAUAUUUUGCUCUUGUAAACUCAUAUUCAACAAUGGAUCAAGCACUAUCUGACCAGGGAGGCAGUGAGCAGAAUGAGCAAAUAUUUGGUGGUGGCUAUUGACCCCUUGGCCCCCCUUCGUGUGGCCACUGCUUAUAAGUAUGCGUUAUUGUUAAUUUCUAUCCCUUAUUUGACUUGAUAUCUGGUGAAAUAGCCUACACUAAUCCCAUGUCAGCUGGACAUGCUAUAAUAGAUUGAUAAUCACAUGGCCUGGGGUGACCCACCCACCAUCAGCCGGGACGUUUAGUCUGCUUCAGGGACGCUUCAGAAAGGGGAAUAACAUGCAUCCUUUGGUUACCUGCAACGACAGAUAACCUCCGAGUAUCUUUGUCGGUUUGUAUUGCCAAUUAGCGUGUUUAAUUGUUGCUUCUUUGUUGCUGUAAUUACUCGUGAAGUCAAUUCAGAGGUUCAAUCCAGGUCAGACACGUGUCAUCUGCUGCGAAUAAACAGAAGAAAAGGCCAAUCUGCUCCCAACGGACAGUAUUUAAUCCUCUGGUCUCUUAUAAACAAGCCUUGUUUUACUGAUGACCAAUGUGUCUGGAGUUUUUUUUUUUUUUAGAGAAAAAGUUUGGUGGCGUCUUUCCUUUUUAUAUGACGCUGAUUUAAUAAAAUAAUAACUUCGACAAAUUAGCAUAAAUGUGAGCAACAACUGAUCGGCUGUUAAUGAGUGUUCGGUUGGCGGGUUUAGUUGCUUCCAAGCCACCAAUUAAUGGUCUUCUGCGCUGAAUGAUUAACAGUACUUUUAAUAAACGAUUACAAGCAUCAGCCGUGCAGGACCGAAGCUGUAAAAUUGAUUUUGAAAACUUAACUCCAGCAGCUGUUGGAUUAGUGUGAGCCUGCUGCAUGUGCGUGCGUGCGUGCGCGCGUCCGUGCGCGGCGAUCGAAGUUCAUUAACUUCUCUUUUCAAGAGUUUCUGAAGUGCUCCUGAAGAUCACACGAAAGCCAAAAAUCUUUCGACUAUUUCCCGUGCAGAUGGGAGGAAAAGAGCAGCACUCACUCGUAAGAUUUUCAUCACCUCUUAUUUUUCUUUUUUUUUUUCCUUGUGAGAUCCGUCAGCGUUUCAGACGAGAUGUAAAAAUCACACAAUGCGUUAAACAUUUAAUGGUCUGUUUAUUUAGUCAGAUGAUUCUUCCAUUGUGUCUGUGGGAUUUCAGAACUAUUCAGAUAAUUACCCCCAUUAAAAACAGAAUAAUGGUGAUAUUCAUGUGCGUUAUUGCUUCAGAAGUGGCUCCAGGCUUUACUCUGAAUGGAGGCUUCAAUGCCAAGAGUUUAAUGGAUCUUUGCUGGUUGAAUAAAUUUUUAUUAGUUGGGAGGUCUUAAUUGAAACCUGGCAUCUGUAGGGUGUAUAUAUCAAACGUUGCUUCAACACACACUGGAGAACAGUCAGAUUGGAUACAUUCUCCUUUAUUCUGUAUUAUUGUCUCUCAAUUCAUUUUUGUUUAUGAUGCCCUAAUAUGAUGACUCACAUAAAGGGAAGAUGUAAUAUGCUGUGUUAGUUGGGUGGGUGGGAUGCAACAGUCACAUGAACACUUCCCAGUUUCAAACUUCUUGAACUUAGAGAAUCUUAGUGCAAAACAGAAUUAUCCUAUUAAUAAUUACUUAGAAAUGAUCAAAUGCAGGUCAGAUUUAAUAAAAAUAACACAAAAUCCAAAAAAGAAGGCUCAUGAGUACUACAAAAAACCCAAAAAAGGUUUAUGUUACAUGUGCUACCCUGUUUUCAGUUCCUUCUGCCACUACAAAGUCUGUUUUUUGAAAGGACUAGUAUAUCUUGCAAUCUGAUCCUGAACUAUAUUCGAUUUAAAAAAUCCUUAUUUAUUCAUAAAGCAAGAAAAAAAGCAUUAAAGAUCAUAUUGUUUUAGCAAAUUUUCAAUGUAAAAAGAAAUAUGGUUAAAAACUACAAACACGUUUGCUUCCUCUGUGGUAAUUGUGAACAGUGUAACAAUACUAUGUAAACAUAAUACUUUUUCCAUCCACAUAAAGGCAGAAAACUUGCUGUUAAUAGUGUUGUCACUUGUGUAUCCACAUGUGAAAUAUUUGACUUGUUGCCCUUAUAGAUAUGUUGGUAAAACAAAGGAUACACAGAAAUGAUAGAGAUUAUUUUGUUGCAGUGCACUUUAAUGAUGCUCAUUGUAUUUUCUUUAAGUUACUUUUUGGAUUUAUAUGCUUCAAACUUUGGCUCCAAAUAUAUUAUUUAUAUACAUAGUGAAGUGAUUGGUCUUUGUAUGUGUUGAUUUUAGUAUUUCUACGUGUGAGGUAAUGUAAAAAGAUUUUUUUUUUACAUGGCAUCUAUAUAUUGUUUGCACAACUUUUUGAUAAUUGGAUGUGAUUGGUCAAACACUUAGAACCAUAUACAUUUUUCACCAGUUUCCAAGUAAUGAUAUGCAAAGUUUGUUUGAUUUGUCAAAUCUGAAGCUGGAAAUGAAAAGCCCAUAAGUACCAUUUUCUUCAUGUGGCCUUUGAUCGGGCAUGCAAUUAAGCAACAGAAACCUUGCAGGGUGAGAAGCUGACAGAUAACCAAUUUAUUUCUGUAAUUAUUGAGGGAUUAUGCAACCCCCAAAGCUAUGCCGCCCUGAACACGUGACCAAUACGACCCAUAUCAAAACUGCCACUGCAACAGCUUACCUGCGGAUGCAAUUUUAUCCAUCUACAAUGUUUUUUCUGCAGACCUUUCAGCCUCUUUUACUUUAACAAAUGAUCCUUUGAAAACUUUCAAGAAUAAACAGAUUUUUUAAAAUUUGUUUUUCUGUUUUGUUUUAAAUGAAUUUAUAGUCAGGCCUAAAUAAACAAAAAUUAUGUUAUUUGUGUGUUUCUUUUUUGUUACCUAUACCUGAAGCCUUGAAAGUUCUGAUAAACCUGUUGAAAGUCUGUACCAUAUAAAAAAACAAUUAACUAGUUUCAUAUUUCCAUUGAUUUACUUCCAUGUGUCUUUGUUGUUGAUUUUCUUUCCUCACAAAUGAUUUUUUGUUGCAAUAUUUCUAACAUUAUUUUGCACUCACAAGUGAAGUAAUGUUUUUUAAACAAUGAAUCACAACUGUUAUUGGCAAAUCCUAACAACACAGUUUGUUGAAAACAACUUUUUUAAUUUCCUGCAUUUUUUAAAAUAAUGCAUUUUUUUAUACUGCAUAUAAAGAAUAUGCAGUAAAGAACAUGUAAAACUAUGAUCAAUGAGUGCACAAAGUAUGUCCUGUGGCUCUGUAUCACAAAUCGUCGGUUUCCCUUUCUUGCUCUUCUUGUCCACUCCAGCAGAGUGCGCCACUCGGACCGUGCAGCCCAAGGGGAGAUUAACCUGCAGGUCUUUGCUUUGUAAAAAAAAAAAAACACGACACACACACCAGCUUGUUCUCCUACUUUCAGACCCAUGGUUCUGUGAGAAAUGACAGGGCACAGGCAGAGUCAAACCGUCUUGCUACAAGUUCUCUUGUUUCAACUACUGAGAGAAUGUCCCCGGCAAGCGGACGGACAUUUCAGAACCAGAGACAGGUAUAUGAAAUGUUAACAAGGUGUCAGAUGAAAGCCUCCAGGCACCACACUCUGAACAUUUUUGUUGUUGUAUUGUUGAGGAAAUGUAACCUAAACUGUAUAAGAUGUCACAUUUAAUGUGUCUUGUAUGUGGAAUUACGUCAUAAUAAAUUCUAUGAUUAUAAGGCCCUCA